rnacentral:tRNA from 1 species
UCCCAGGUGAUCGAGUGGCUAAGAUUCUGUGCUCCCAAUGCAGAGCGGGCAGGUUCAAUCCCUGGUCAGGGAA